GACGUAGGGUGCGAGCGUUGUCCGGAAUUAUUGGGCGUAAAGAGCUUGUAGGCGGUCUGUCGCGUCUGCCGUGAAAUUUCGGGGCUCAACCCCGAACUUGCGGUGGGUACGGGCAGACUAGAGUGUGGUAGGGGAGACUGGAAUUCCUGGUGUAGCGGUGAAAUGCGCAGAUAUCAGGAGGAACACCGAUGGCGAAGGCAGGUCUCUGGGCCACUACUGACGCUGAGAAGCGAAAGCAUGGGGAGCGAACAGG
rnacentral:rRNA from 1 species